AACAAUAUCUUCGUAACAUUAAGGACGGACCAACUAAGUUUUGUACGUGCUGCGGAGGAACGUGGUUUCCAUCUCAGGAGUCCCGGAUUUCCUAUUGCAAGAUUUCGAAAUGAAAUUAAAGCUGAUGUGGAAAAAAUCCACAGGGACUGAUAUUCUGGAGGAACACUUGAAUGCCUAUUACCUCUUUUCAAUCAAUCAUUCUCCCACAACAAAACAAAUAACACAAAUUGAUUGGAUAUUUUCAGAUUCUCGAAUUCCACAAGCUCUUGCCAUUACUUAUGAGACACCAUAUAGCUACCACGAUGGAAUUUUUUUAAGUAUAUCUUGAGUAGGUAAUAUAAUUAAAUAUAUAAAUUGUAAAAAUUGUAAUAGGUUAGAAAGAAUAAUUAAUUGUGUAUAGCAUAAUGUAUAUAUGUAUUUUUAUGGUA